rnacentral:rRNA from 1 species
UACGUAGGUGGCAAGCGUUGUCCGGAUUUAUUGGGUUUAAAGGGUGCGUAGGCGGUUCUAUAAGUCAGUGGUGAAAUCCGGCAGCUCAACUGUCGAUGUGCCAUUGAUACUGCGGAACUUGAGUACAGACGAGGUAGGCGGAAUUGACGGUGUAGCGGUGAAAUGCUUAGAUAUCGUCAAGAACACCGAUAGCGAAGGCAGCUUACUAGACUGUAACUGACGCUGAUGCACGAAAGUGUGGGGAUCAAACAGG